AUCGCUUCUCGGCCUUUUGGCUAAGAUCAAGUGUAGAAAUAGAACCUAAAGUGAAAGGGUAUAGAGUUUUUUUUAGCAUGGAGCCACAGACAACUUUCAAAUCCACAAAAUGCCUCAGUUAUGUGCUUAGUUACACUUCAUAUCUUUGGCAUUUGAAGGUCCCUGUGAAUAGGUGUAUUUCUU